ensembl:rRNA 5S_rRNA 5S ribosomal RNA
UCUUGCAUAGAUUCUUGUCUGCAGCUACAUACUUUGUCAGCUCUUGCAAGCUAAGCAGGGAGAGACUGGGUUAGUACAUGAAUAGGAGACAUUCAGGGAACAACCAGGUGCUAGUU